rnacentral:rRNA from 1 species
AACGAACGCUGGCGGCAGGCUUAACACAUGCAAGUCGAACGGGCCCUUCGGGGUCAGUGGCAGACGGGUGAGUAACGCGUGGGAACGUGCCCUUCAGUUCGGGAUAACCCAGGGAAACUUGGGCUAAUACCGGAUACGUGCGAGAGCAGAAAGAUUUAUCGCUGAAGGAUCGGCCCGCGUCUGAUUAGCUGGUUGGUGGGGUAAUGGCCCACCAAGGCGACGAUCAGUAGCUGGUCUGAGAGGAUGAUCAGCCACAUUGGGACUGAGACACGGCCCAAACUCCUACGGGAGGCAGCAGUGGGGAAUAUUGGACAAUGGGCGCAAGCCUGAUCCAGCCAUGCCGCGUGAGUGAUGACGGCCUUAGGGUUGUAAAGCUCUUUCGCACGCGACGAUAAUGACGGUAGCGUGAGAAGAAGCCCCGGCUAACUUCGUGCCAGCCGCCGCGGUAA